GACAGCAGCCGCCGCGGUAAUACAGAGGGUGCGAGCGUUAAUCGGAUUUACUGGGCGUAAAGCGUGCGUAGGCGGCUUCUUAAGUCGGAUGUGAAAUCCCUGAGCUUAACUUAGGAAUUGCAUUCGAUACUGGGAAGCUAGAGUAUGGGAGAGGAUGGUAGAAUUCCAGGUGUAGCGGUGAAAUGCGUAGAGAUCUGGAGGAAUACCGAUGGCGAAGGCAGCCAUCUGGCCUAAUACUGACGCUGAGGUACGAAAGCAUGGGGAGCAAACAGGAUUAGAUACCCGCGUAGUCCCUGUCUCUUAUAC
rnacentral:rRNA from 1 species